CCCCACGGGAUGCGCAUCCGGAGCAUCCCAGGAUGAAGUGACGGUGGGAAGAGAAGUGUGGAUUCUCCGUGGGUGUUUCCCUGGGCUGAACGGCUGCUGGGACAUUGGGAAGGGCUCCCCAGCCAGAAUUUCCUCCCCAGCUGGGAACACCAGCCUGGAGCUGGGACUGGGAGCCAACACCGCGUGCCCACACUAAUCCCAAAGGCCAGAACCCCCCUGGAACUGUGUUUUCCAGCAGGGAACACCCUGCCCGGCUCCCGCGGCUGCUCGGGACGCUCCGGCCCUCAGGGCCAGCCCGGCAGCCAGCCAAGGCCUUUUGAUCAACUGGCACCCAAAAGUCAAUCAGGAAGAUGCCGCCUGUUUUAAUUAACAGCGAUUUCGCUCUGCCGGGGGUGAGCCGCUGUGCCGGGGGGAGGGAGGGAGGCCGGAGACAAAACAUGACCUUGUUGGUGCAGCACA